UGGCACGGCGUCGUUUGGAAAGUGCACUUCCUUGUUCUGACCUUGCCUUUUAUGGGCUGGAGCGAUAUGAUACGUGAUAUGCCACGGCGAAGUUGUCGAAGAUGCGACGGUGCUACGCUGUUAGAACAAUUCAUCGGAGCAUUCAAGUGUUACCUAUUAUAAGCUGCCAAAAGACCAAGCAGUGCGAAGCUCUUGGCUGACAGUGGUGCCUGCUAAUUUCCACUGCAAGGAUUUCGUCCACGAAUGUUAUCAUAGGUUACGCGCGACUCCAGAGGCAAUUUGGAAUCUCGGCACGAAAUCGUCUGAUGAAAAUCUGAGGUGCCCGACGCACAACAUUUUGAACGUGCCACGGAGGAUCAAGGCAAAAAACGAGAGCAAAAAAGGUAAGUCGAGGUUCAGAUAUAAAAAAUAGCAAGCUUAAUGAAUCGAUUGUGCAGCUGUCCUACUGCGCUUACUCUGAUAUAACCACGAUUAACAACACAAUAGUAUUGAUAAUCUAACUUCUGAAUUAUCACAGGUGCACGCUGAAGGCGGAAAUGAAGCAUGAUCUGGCUUGCAUCUGGUGCAUGAAGAAAUUGCUGACACGUUAGUUGCAGUCUACCUCCACCAACAGGGUGGAAAACAAAGGUCGCCAUUCCGAUUAGCUGCUAUCUCCCAGUUCAAGCACUUUUGCUGUCUGGACACUGGUUCCUGUGGAUGGGGUGUUACAAGCUUCACUGUCUGAUAUAGAAGUGAUGAGCAUCCAUAAGGACACAUGCCAGAAAGGGAGUCUCUUUG